rnacentral:lncRNA from 1 species
UGACUAGAUGCCUUUACUGAUUAAUUUUUUGAAAUCUUUAAAGAAGAACUAAUUCAAUUUCUUUUAAAUUUGUUGUGAAGAUUUGAAAGAGAGAGAAUCAUUCCAAGCCCAUUCCUUGAGGCUAGCAUUACCCCGGUACCAUAGCAACAAGAACACAAGAUAAAAGAAACUGUAGACUAAUAACCUGAUGGACAUAGAUGUAAAAUUUCUCAAUAAAAUAUGAGUAAAUCUGAAUGUGAUUCAACAAAGAAUCAUAAAAAUUAUUCACCAUAAUCAAAUUGGUUCCAUCCCAGAGAUGCAAGGAUGGUUCAACAUAUUCAGAUCAA